rnacentral:rRNA from 1 species
CACUACUACUUCUACACAACAGGUGGAGAGAGAGAAAAGGGGAAGAGGAGUGGCGUUUCGUUUGGGAGGAGAGGGGCGGCUGAUCAGUUAUCAUUCAUCUAGAGUAGAGGCUAGGCUAGGCUAGGUCGGCCGCUAGGGCGCGCCGCGCCGCCUCCCGCCCUAGCUAGAGUCGGUACCUGAGAAGAAGGAGCAGCUGCCGCAGCAGAAGGGUCCGCGUCCGCGUCGGCCUGAAGCUGAUGGACAAGUUCGAGGAGGAGUAGCCGCUGAGGCCGCACCCCUUCUCGUCGGACGAGGAGGCUAAGUGUAGCCUGAGGAAGCUCCUGGAUAGGGGCUGGUAGCCGCAGCUGAAGUUCCACUUCUACCAGUUGUAACGGCCGUUCUUCGAGUUCGAGCGGCAGACCCUGUGGCGACCUGUCCUUGCUAAAUCCUGGAACUGGUCGAGAAUGAUGUCUCCCCGUGUUCCCUAGUAGUACCACAUGCUACAAUGAGCGGCUCUUUGUAAGUGCUUAGAGAGACUGUAUACCCGGUUCCUUUAACUGGACAUAAGCUGUUUGGUCCUGACAUAUUUCUACGAACAGCCUUUGUUUCACCUGUUCCUUUCACUCUCCCGACAGUGGUUCUUCCUUCCGUAACUGAAACGGUCCCUCAUACCCACAAAUAAAGACCUUACGUCACGCUUUUGGUUUCACUUGCACCUCGUCACGAAACUCCUCGAGCACGACUUCUAUAACCUGUGAGGCUCGGACGACCGCCUACGCAGCAGCCCCCGCUUCUCCUUGUAGAAGUUCGUCUUCCGCGGUCUCCGACUACGACGCCGCUCGCCGACGACAACUAAAGUAAGUGCGUGCGAUUAGGGCCCGUAGAUAGAUACUAGAUAGAAAUAGAAACACCUCCUACCUACUUUUGCAAACAACAAACUGCUUCACUGUAGAUUCGUCGAGCAAACACAGCAAAAGAAAACGAACACAACGACAUAUACUAUACUUAGUCACCCAGUCAACUACGAGGAGUACAACUUAGUAGUGUUUUGUUUUGUCUCAUGGAACCGUCGAUAUAUUAUCUCUGUCCGUAUGUAGUC